ensembl:lncRNA
UCUGAAGGUAAAAAGGUUUAUUACAGAAAGAUGUUUAAUACAGGAUAGAAUAAAGUAGGAUAGAAUAAUGAGAGCGCUCUGAAGCCCUUGUACUAAACCACUACUAUAUAUAUGAAACGCAGAGCAUGACAUAAUUCUGUGUACCGAUAAGAAGCAGUUUGAGGCAGUUCAAACAGGCUUUGUUUUAGGAUCUUGGACAGACAAACCUUGAACAGAAGAACAUGUUUGUGUCUCUGUAAGCAGAUAAGCAUUCUGUACUGAUCUCAGUGACAUGGCAUGGCCUUCUUAUGCGUUAUCUUCAGAUGAGAAUGAAAUAGAACAAGAACAAAACUAUUACAAAGUAAAAAUGAAUAAUUUCCCUCACAUUUCCCCCAUUUUAUCAUUACAAAAUAUGAUAACUAAAAUUAACAGAGAAAUUACUAUUCUAUGAGUACAUCAGAACUUCAGAAACCUUUCACGGUUCAACUGAAUUCAUCAUGAAACAGACAUAAUGAAACUGCUAAGGCUGUUUUUGCGGAUUUAAAGUAACCUGUCGUCAAGCAAGCUUAUCUUAGAGUGAAAUGAGAAUCGUCAUGGUCAAAGGAAUAUUUACAAUAGGUGUGAAAUGGAUGUCAAUUGGUCGUCAUCGUCAGUGUCGCUGGGAGGAUCUGAUACCCAGUCAGGUUUAGGAUACAAGUCAGAUUGGUCAUCAAAGACUCAGUCUUCGUCAACAUCAGCGUUUGGUCAUUAGUGAUUUCAACGAGUGUGAGAGACUGCUCCGAACGAGAGAAACGAUACAAGGCAAAAUGAGCAAGACAAGAAGAAUUAUUGCACCUAUUGGUAGACAGAUGGUUAAUAUCCAUGAGCCCCACCCCCCGAGUACUGAGUUCAGCCAAUCAAACCCCAUCUCGCUAGCCUGUGGAGGGUUGCGUAUCGCAGACCGCCUGUGUUCAAUGAUAGAAUAACCAUUAUGUGUCUGCAUGAUGAGGGGACGUGUGACGUUAUGUGGGUGUGUAUAUGCAGAGCUCAAUGCUUGGCUCUGGCACCCUCCUGCAGUGGCUCGCACACAUCCAUGUGGCUCUCUGGUUGACUUUCACUGCUGAAUGAGUGACAAAUAGAACCUGGAAUGGCCCAGACCACCGUGGCUUGUUCCACCUGGUCCUGCGGAAGUCCUUGAUCACGAUCUACUCUCCAGGCUUCAGAUCAUGCAGCGGACUCGUGGCUGGAGCUGGAAGUGCUGCCUUUACCUGCUUGUGGAUAGAGUGCAGAGCAGAGGACAGGGUUGCACAGUAAUUUAACAUUGCAUCAUCAUAUGCUGCAGCAUCAGGAAGAGGAACUGUCACAGGUCCAAUUCCUGUGUAUGGAGGUAUCCCAAACAGUAUCCCAAAGGUGCUAAGCCCAUCCUAAGCCUGUUUCAGAACAGCAUUUGCUCAGUCUGUUUUUUAGUGUCCCAUUUUCUCUCUCUACCGCCCCACCACUAGCUGGAUGAUAUGCACAGUGCUGCUUUAAUUCAAUACCCAAAUAUUCACCCACCUACUUAAGGGCAUGGCUCACAAAAGGUGUGCCAUGUCCUGUUUGAACGUAGGGACGUGGCCUUCUCUACCUUCAAACCUCAACCCAUGUUAUGAGUUGCACAAACUGUAAAGAUGGUCCCUGCCAUGCGUCAACUUUGAAGACAAGGACAGCUCUUGGGGCACCGCCAAACUCCGUCAACAACCAUGCAGCCUGCUUUGCGCCACACAGCCUUUUCCUUGUCCUUGUAGCCUGUGUUUGGAGGUCUGAAAGCUGUAAAGAAGGUGUGAUUUUUUUUUGUGUGUUUUGGGACCAUAGAUGCAGCUGCUUGCUUUGCUGCACUGUCCACUGAAACUUUCCUAGGAAAACAGGGUCUAAUUUGUUAGUAUGCGCAUCACAUUUGCAUACUGCAAUAGUUUUGGAGUAGGACUGCGUCCAGCAGCUCAGAGACUAGUUUGUGGUGGGCUAUGUGUGUUCCUGAACUCGUCAGGAAGUUCCUGUAUUUCCAAAUUGUCCCCAACUCAUGGACUACCUCAAAGGCAUAUCUACUGUCUGUGUAGAUAUUUACUGACUGUCCCUCAACAUGUUUUCAUGCCUCUAUGAGGGCAUACAGUUCAGCUGCUUGUGUUGAAAGGUUUGAGGGGAGACUUUCUGACAGACCGUCUCGUGUGCGGUUACUACUGCAUAGCCCACUCGAUUUUUACCUGUCUCUGGGUCACGUGACGCUGACCCAUCCACAAAGAGGAUCAGAUCUACAUUUUCCAAUAGAACACCUUUCAGGUCGACUCUAUGAGAGCAGAAUUCGUUGGUCAAUACGACACAGUCAUGUGGUUCUCCGUCUCCCUCUGUUGGAAGAAGAGUAGCAGGGUUAAGGACAGUACAUUGUUUCAUAGUGACUUUCUGCAUGUCUAGUAGUAUAGUGUUAUGGUGCAGCCACCAUUGAGUGGACAGGUGUGAGGUUUUCUGUUCAAGUAGGAGUAACAACACCUCAUGUGGAACCAAGAGGUUAAAUUCUGUGUAACCUACCAGAUCUCUGGAUGCCAUCACAGCUUUCUCAGCUGCUGCUACUGAACAUACCCAUGGGGGAAACUCUGUAGCAACUGGAUCCAACUUACCUGAGAAUGAGCUGUCCAACCUGUCACAUAUGCCAUCUCUCUGAGCGGUGCUUCUAGAAUGGUAUAGUUUAGAAUGAAAGUUCUGCGAUACAAACACAUACCUAGGAUAGAGAGAACCUGUUUCUUCAUCCGAGGCUUGGGAAUCUUUUGGAUUGCAGAUACUCUUUCAGUUGAGAGUUUCUUUCCCUUUGCAGAAAUGUCAUGCCUUAGAAAUCUCACUUCUUGUCGUACAUACUGUAAUUUGGAGAGACUGGCUUUGUGUCCUUCUUUGGCAAGAUGCUGCAACAAUUUAAUGGUGUCAGUUUCACACUGUGCCCUGGAGAAAGUGGUAGAGGUGCUAAGCUGUCCUUUAGCAUUUGGUUGUAUAUCGUUAGUGACUCUCCAUCCAUCCAUCCAUCCAUCCAUCCAUCUUCUAUACUGCUUAUCCUUCCUUCAUGGUCACGGGGAAACCUAGAACCUAUCCCAGGGAGCAUGGGGCACAAGGCGGGGUACACCUUGGACAGGGUGCCAAUCCAUCGCAGGGCACAAUCACAUACACAUUCACAAACCCAUUCAUACACUACGGAUACUUUGGACAUGCCAAUCAGCCUACCAUGCAUGUCUUUGGACUGGGGGAGGAAACCAGAGUACCCGGAGGAAACCCUGGCAGCACGGGGAGAACAUGCAAACUCCGCACACACGGGGCCACGGUGGGAAUGUUAGUGACUCUCAAUUCCCUUAAACACAAGCGAGUGAAAGUGUAAGGACAUCCAUCAAAUAUGAAUGCAAACUGAAACUGUAUGUCUUUAUCAAGAGAUAUACUUUUUAAAAAUGCAUUAGCUAAAUCUACGACUGAAAACGAUUCGCUAUUUGCUGGAACCUGGCUUAAUAUAGUGUAAGAAUUUGGCAUGUCUGGAGCUCUCAGUUUGACUGCUGCAUUAACUGCUUGCAAAUCUUGUACAAAUCUCCAUUCAUCUGGUUGUGGGGGUUUUCUUGCCUUCUUUACCGGAUAUAUUGGAGUGCGCACUGACAAAUCAAGGCAGGGAACAAUGACCCCUACCUUCAAUAAUGAAUUGAAAUCUGGUCCAAUGCCCUCAAUAGCUUCUGAUUUAAGAGGGUAUGGAGAUUGUCUGGGCCUAAAGUCAGAUUUGGGAGUGAUCACGACUGGUGGUGCACUUUUAAAUCAGGCCUACGUCAUGUUUCCCUUGGGCCCACAGCCCGAGAGGCACCUUCUUCAAUUGUGGGUGUGUCUCUAGGGGUGUGGGGCUCGUUCCAAGGUUCAGAAACAUUCUAUUUUCAUGACAAACCUCCCGGUUAACCUUGCACAUUUCCAGAAAGAAUUUUUUUUAAAUAAAUUCCCAGCGUCAGGCUGUACCACAUGUUGGAGGUGGGCUUCUGUUCCCAAUGUGUAAUUUUCCCACUCUCAUAUAAUCUGACCCACAGCCCUACGUCUUUCUACUGUUUGUUCUUUAUUUUGGUUAAUGAGACGUGAGGCGCUGAUUCUGGGACAAAAAAUGCACGCAACUGCAUGUCACUCAAUUUGACUGGACAUGCACAAAAUUUUUCCAGCAACAUAGGUACAGCUCUUCGCUUUCUGGGAAAUCCAUAAACCAUUCUUUCUCAAAAUUAAAGUCUCUUUCUUCAUGCACUUGCGCUGUGCAAUGAAGGGCAGAGGACAGCAUAAAAUCUACAUAGUUGUCCUUCAUCUUAUCAUGUGCCAACGUCAACAAACGAGCACAUGCUCUAGGCUUGUUAUGCUUGGACCAUUGAUAAACACAGAGCUCUGUUUCUUUAACAAACAGAGUUACAAUGAUGAGUCAUCAUUUCUUCUUACUCCCUGAGGUGAGGACAUAAAAUUUAAGUGUAAAACACACAUUAAGUCUCUGCCCAGUAGUUGUCUGGACAUGAAGACAAAAUUAGGUCUAAUACUGUGCAGUGACCGUGAACUCGUUAUCGGGGUUUCUUUUAAUUCGCAGUGUUUUAUUACUGAAUACGUUGCUCCCGAUUCUACCAGAAAUGUGACACUUUGCCCAAACCUUAAGAAUGUAAAAGUGUUUACCUGUGAGGGCGAGUCCACAUACAGCAAUUUGUCAGGGGUAAUGCGAUAUUUCGCUCGGCACAAUAAAGGACAAAUCGCCUUUGCGUCAACAUGGACUUCAGGAUGAAACUUUUCCACGAGCGUCCUCCGGUUUGCUUGUUGUCCAGUAAAGCUGAAAGACUCACGCAGCCCAGCCAGGAGAAGCCAAAUUGUCGUGGAAUUAGACAACACUUGCAGACUCAUCCUCUGAAGAAAGAUGCUCGCCAGCAGGGGGCGGCGUAGGACAAUAAGCAGAACCUCCAAGCUGUUCAACAUGGCCACAGGAUGGCACACAGCCCAACGCGGGAAACUGGAUCGCCACGUGAAACGCGCCAAUCACGGCAGUUGAAGCACGCGGGUUUUCGAU